UUAAGUUCAGCGGGUAUCCCUACCUGAUCCGAGGUCAAACUUGUGGUUGCGUCUUGAUGGACGCCCGCGCGAGAGGUCUGCGAGGCGCGUUUCUGCUGCGCUCGAAGCCAAUACACAGGCCGCCAAUGUUUUUGAGGCGAGUCCGCGCCCGGGGGCGGGACAAGGCGCCCAACACCAAGCAGUGCUUGAGGGUUUUUAGA
rnacentral:misc_RNA from 1 species